UACGUAGGGUGCGAGCGUUGUCCGGAAUUACUGGGCGUAAAGAGCUCGUAGGUGGUUUGUCGCGUUGUUCGUGAAAACUCACAGCUCAACUGUGGGCGUGCGGGCGAUACGGGCAGACUGGAGUACUGCAGGGGAGACUGGAAUUCCUGGUGUAGCGGUGGAAUGCGCAGAUAUCAGGAGGAACACCGGUGGCGAAGGCGGGUCUCUGGGCCGUAACUGACGCUGAGACGCGAAAGCGUGGGGAGCAAACAGG
rnacentral:rRNA from 1 species